UGCGGCCGCUGCCGCUGGUGCUCACAGGCACUACUGCUGAUUAAGGUAAACUCGCUUUAGCUCAUCUCGUCGUUUCUUUUCGUCCUGAUGAUGAUUGGUAACCGCGGUUGCUGCUGCUGCUAUUUAUGGGUGAUGGAGCGUCGUCGACCAACCGAAAGUGCCGUUGUUGUUGUGAAGAGAAAGUUGUUGCUGAUGUUGCUGUUGUAAACGUUGCUGAUGUUGUUAUUGUUGUGGCCUCCUUUCUCCCGCUGCUUGAGAUGAACCCAAAUAGCUUCUCUUAAGCCCUCGCCCCCAUUCGACGAAUCUCGCUGAAUAAGAAAACGGUGGGGAAUCUCUAAAAGACAGAUACAGAGUUAUGUCUAAACUUUUGCUACCGCAAAGAAGGCGGUUGUUCUGGCUUUUACGAGUUCUACAUGUUCGUAUACCGUCAACGAACGUCAUAACUGAUGCUGUUGUUCCCGUUAUCACCUGUAUCAUCUUGUUGCCAUAAAGACUAGCAGAAUGACUGAACGGGCAGUUAGUCGACUAAUGCGCGUAUACAUUCCAGUCUUGCACUCAGGUUCUAGAGCAUUGUCAUGCAGUAGAUAGCGCGCUGAGCCUCAUUUGUCUCUAAUGCAUAUUUAAUCUCCUAGAAGCGUCGUGUACGCACAUACUGACUGAAUAGGACAGCUAUACCCGUUAAACUCCUUCCCCUUAAACGACCGAAGCUAAUCUUCGUCACUCUGACAACAACUGUAGCAGCAAGAGUAGACAAUGGGGUCAGAAUAGGAAGCCCUAUACCAUCGUAGCGGCCAACGCAGUGCGCGUCAACUGACGCUUCGGUUAGCGUUAGCGCAUCAGCGAUUUUGUUAGUGAGUAAUAAAGAAGGGGAGACCAGCUCGGAAACCAGUGAAAUGAAUGCUGUACAGAUGAGUGCUUCAGCUUACGGGAGCAUUAAGGAGAGUGGCGGGUGCGACACGAUAAGUGGUGGGAGCGCCUCUAACAACUCGGACAUCGGUGAAACGGCAUCAUCACAGGCAUUUUCUCCGCUGCGAGGGUAUAAGCUUUGAGAGCUCUUAGCUCAAUUACGUGUUGAUCCAUCAACUCUAACCCAGGUUAAUCCAAUGAAGAAAAGCCAAAACCAUAAUGGUUUACUAUCAGACUUGCAACAGCGUAAGUCUCCAUUCCGACCGGGCGUUUACCAGGUCGCACUUUAAUUAUAACCGAAGUCUAGUAACGUUUUAGAUUUCAACGUAGAGCUUUUGUAGAAUUAAUGUCAUGCCGAUUUGUUCGUUAUGUAUGCAUCUAGUUAUAAUAAGCCCUGCUAAGUGGAGUAAAGGCCGAGGUUGUAAGAAAGUCAUAUAAGGACAUUAUUGUGGUCAAAGUUAGCUGAGAGAUCAAACGUGGACGGUGACUGACAAUAGACUUAAUUAAUUUCAUUACAACCAUGCGUCCGAUUUUGACUUAGUAAAAUGACAGACCAUAUUGAAUCAUUUAUUAACUGCGACGUGUUCGACGUGCUGGAAACACCCAAGGGGCGUUCAUACUUGCAAUCGUUUUAUAUCGGUCUGUUUUUGUUUGUAUAAAAGAUCCCUAAGCAGUACUGGUCAGACAUGUAAAGCAAAUAAAUAUUUAAAAAUUGUCAUUUUAAAACAGAGAGCAUAUGAGUAAGUUUUCGGAAUUCCGGGGCACCUCAGGAUCGAGAACGAGCAGCAGAUGUUUCAGCUUAGGUAGUUAGUUAGCUUAGGAAAUGUAACACCGUCAAAGAAUGCGCCAUUUCGUAAUAUCGUCAUCCGAGACAAACGGGCAAUGCGCAGGUUUAUACCAUUCUAUUAUAAUUAGUAUAUAAUACCAGCAGUAUUUGAACGUAAAGGAACCAUAUUGAUACGCUCACCUUCACAUCAAUUUAAUGAAAAGGUCACCAUUGAUCUAUUCUUGAAAAUAUGUCAUGUACUGUCAUACAGUUUCACAGCAUCUGUACGUUAUAAAUUCUUUUCAAUAAGAGAGUAUAUUACAGCUAAUUUAAUUCUAACAGUACAAGAUUAUUUUGAACAAAUAAUCUUAAUAAUAUUUAAAGAUUUGCUCUGUUAAAUUUUAGUAUAAUAAUAGUUAUAACAAUGAGUAAAAGCUCCAUAAACUGACUUAAUUCCUUAAGAUGAUAACCUUAACUUAAGGAAGUUGCAUUUACCCUGUACAAAGAUGGAAAAUUGCAUCUACUAUCUACGAUGUCAUGAUCUUUACACACACUUCAUGUAGAAGCUGAUAGCCUGACAUAAUGAGCUAUCUAAAAGCAAGAAAGCAACCAACUGAGUUUUCUCGAAUUUGGUAGUCUUCACAUAUUACUAAAAAUAAAUGUGAUGCUUUGUAAAAAUGCCAGACAAAAGACAUUGCACAGUUUCAUCCAAUGAAAUAUCCUAUUCCAUCUUUUUUGGCCUCUGCUCUGCUAUAUUUUCCUGCAAGUGUGCCUGUGUACUCAUCUUUGUAUUUUUAAUUCAUAACUAAAUUUUUAUUGGUUUGUUUGCUUAGUAUUUAUCUUUGAGUACGUACUUAGUUAUCCUGUGAACGAUUUGCAAAAAGAACGUAUGUUCUUUUUUGUUUAAUAGAGAUAAUUUACUAAUAUUUCACCUCAAACUGUCCUCUACUAAUUAAUAACUAGGUCAUUAUUGUAAUGCUAGUCACCAUUGACUGUCUUCUGAUCGUCGUGGAACUGCUGGCAGAGAGGCGGGUCCUUGAAGUUGUCGGAGGACAUCCACAGGAACGGUACUACAACCACUACGUUCAUGUAUUACACCAUCUUUCGAUAGCGAUUCUUUCGAUCUUCGUCGUCGAAAUUAUAGCUAAAGUGUACGCGUUUAGCGUUAUUGGGUUCCUAAACCAUAAACUUGAGGUAGUAUUAUUUGCUUUCUAUUCGAAACAAAAUAAAUAAAAUGUACAUUUGAAACUGUA